UAAGGAAUAUUGGUCAAUGGACGCAAGUCUGAACCAGCCAUGCCGCGUGAAGGAUGAAGGUCCUCUGGAUUGUAAACUUCUUUUAUCUGGGACGAAAACGGGAUUUUUAUCUCAAUUGACGGUACCAGAGGAAUAAGCACCGGCUAACUCCGUGCCAGCAGCCGCGGUAAUACUGAGGGUGCGAGCGUUAUCCGGAUUUACUGGGUUUAAAGGGUGCGUAGGUGGGCUUAUAAGUCAGUGGUGAAAUCUCCGAGCUUAACUUGGAAACUGCCGUUGAUACUAUAGGUCUUGAAUUAUCUGGAGGUAAGCGGAAUAUGUCAUGUAGCGGUGAAAUGCUUAGAUAUGACAUAGAACACCAAUUGCGAAGGCAGCUUACUACAUAUAAAUUGACGCUGAGGCACGAAAGCGUGGGGAUCAAACA
rnacentral:rRNA from 1 species